rnacentral:rRNA from 1 species
GACGAAGGGGGCUAGCGUUGUUCGGAAUUACUGGGCGUAAAGCGUGUGUAGGUGGUUGUCAUAGUCAGGCGUGAAAGCCUUGAGCUCAACUCAAGAAAUGCGCUUGAUACUGGGCAGCUAGAGGACCGGAGAGGAUAGUGGAAUUCCCAGUGUAGUGGUGAAAUACGUAGAGAUUGGGAAGAACACCAGUGGCGAAGGCGGCUAUCUGGACGGUUUCUGACACUAAGACACGAAAGCGUGGGUAGCAAACAGG